GUGAGGAAUAUUGGUCAAUGGACGAGAGUCUGAACCAGCCAAGUCGCGUGAAGGAAGACGGUUCUAUGAAUUGUAAACUUCUUUUGUGCAGGAAUAAAGUGGGUUACGUGUAACCUUUUGUAUGUACUGUACGAAUAAGGAUCGGCUAACUCCGUGCCAGCAGCCGCGGUAAUACGGAGGAUCCGAGCGUUAUCCGGAUUUAUUGGGUUUAAAUGGUGCGUAGGUGGAUUGAUAAGUCAGCGGUGAAAGUUUGCAGCUUAACUGUAAAAUUGCCGUUGAAACUGUCGGUCUUGAGUGCAAAUGAGGUAGGCGGAAUGUGUUGUGUAGCGGUGAAAUGCUUAGAUAUAACACAGAACUCCGAUUGCGAAGGCAGCUUACUGGGAUGCAACUGACACUGAUGCACGAAAGCGUGGGUAUCAAACAGGAUUAGAAACCCGUGUAGUCC
rnacentral:rRNA from 1 species